AGAUGGGGUGUCACCAUAUUGCUCAGGCUGGUCUCCAAAUUCUGAGCUCAAGUGAUCUACCUGCCUUGGCCUUCCAAAGUGCGAGCCACCACACCUGGCCCUCUUGUGGUCUUAAAGGAAAGGGGAGGAGGGCAGGUGAAGAACAGAAAUGCCACAUGUCAUAUUUAGUAGGACACCAGCAAGUGGAGCCAUGCUGCAGCUUCAUUUUCCCCAAAGCUGAAACUCGACUUUAUUAGGAUUUCACCUACAACUCCUGUGCCCUGUGUUUAAAGUCAAAGGCAAAUGACAACAACCCAAUCCAGGCAAGACUGCUAAAGGCUUAGACCCUUCAAGAAUGAAGGUUUGGGUGAUCCCACCAGUCACAAGGCCAUGACCCGCUGAGGUGCUUGCUGAGGACAAAGGAAAUGAGGAAUGGGUGGUGGCAGGCUCCCGUCAUCAGUGUGGAUGGCAGCCAUGCCGGCAGCUACUCUACCUUCCCCUGAUCCUCCUUCAGCUUCUCCAACUCCUGGGCCAGAUGGGGCAGCUCCAUGACAAUGGGCACUGGCUUCUUCAGGACAUCCAGACCCUCAAGGUCAGGGGCAGUGAGACUGACACAGGUUCCAGUUCAUGCUGCUCGGUUCCAGCUUGUGCUUGCAGGUUACAGGCUGUCCUGCUCUUCUCUAUUUAUAUCCAUUUCCCUCCUAACCACCUGCCCUGUGAACUUAACUCUCUAGCAUCAGACAUCCCAUCCAGGAGGACAACAUACACACAGUUGCUUAACUAGCCUCACAAUUACUAAGAUCAAAUUUGCACAACAAAUACACACACACACACAGAGAAAUAUGUAUCCUAAUGGGUCUGCUUCUCUGAUUAAACCCUUAAUUGAUACACUCAUUCUGUGGACAUCAUUCAGUCCUUUUUCUCCAGCCACUCCGUCCUUGCUCAGUGAACUCACAAACAAAGGGGACAUAGCAGCAGCAAUAGAAGGGAUGCAAGGGCCUAGUAGCCUGGUCUUCUACCCUCCAAGCCUGAACUGACAACAGAUCACAGCCCAUACUGAGGCCCUAAUAUGGCACUAUUCCCCAAGAGGACCAAUCAGCUGCCUGGUGGCAGGUUAAUUACAUCAGGUCACCUCCAUUAUGAAAGAGGAAGUGCUUUGUACUUGCUGGAAUAGACACUUACUUUGGACACGAAUUUUCCUUCCCUACCCACAAUACUUCUGCCAGAGCCACAGUAAGUGGACUUACAGAAUGCCUUACCCACCGUCAAGGUAGGCCGUAUGGCAUUACUUCUGACCAAGGAAGUCAUUUCAUAGCAAAUUAAGUGGGUCAACGGGCUCCUGCUCAUGGAGUUUACUAGUCUUACCGUGUUUCCCACCACCCUGAAGUAGCUGGCCCAACAGAACAAUGGAAUGAGCUUUUGAAGAUUCACAGGACCAGCUACCAUCUACCAUCCCUAUAAGGAUGACGACACCUUAUAGAGCUGGUGUAUGAUCUAUGCUUUUUUUUUUUUUUCAAGUUUAACCUGAUAAUUUAUUUGUGGGGAAAAAGCUAGUUUUGAUGAGAAAAAGUUGUCCUUUCCUUGUAAACACAAAGAAACUCAACAGGAAUUUUAAAUGUUAUAGUAGGCCAGAAAAUGCAACAGUAACUCUUACAAUCCUUUUCAAUUAAACAGACAAAUCAAGUUGAAGACAAAUGUUAAAAUACUAUUUAGCCCAAAUAUUUAUCAGCGUAUAUAUCCUGUUGUUCAAUUGGCUUUUGAUUUAAAAAACAAACAAACAAACCAACAAACUUUAUAAGAGCUACACUGGCUGGGCGCGGUGGCUCAUGCCUGUAAUCCUAGCACUUUGGGAGGCCGAGGCAGGCAGAUCCCUUGAUGUCAGGAGUUUGAGACCAGCCUGGCCAACAGGGCAAAACCCCGGCUCUACUAAAAAUACAGAAAUAUUAGCUGGGUGUGGUGGCACAUGCCUUUAAUCCCAGCUACUUGGGAGGCUGAG